AUGAUGCAUUUGAAGGACUGCGAGCAGAGGAAUGCGGUGUGCUAAACGGAUGUGAGAAUGGACGGUGUGUGCGGGUGCAGGAAGGAUACACCUGCGACUGCUUCGAUGGUUACACACUCAACAUGUCCCGCAUGGCCUGCGUGGAUAUCAAUGAAUGCUCAGAGCUGAAUACAAAGAUGUCUCUUUGCAAGAACGGCAAGUGCAUCAACACGGAAGGCUCAUAUAAGUGUGUGUGUCUGCCAGGGUUUGUCCACUCAGCCCAGCACAACUACUGUGUGCCCCAAAGACAGAAUGCAACCAGCACGAGCACGAAGUGACCAGCAGGGGGCACAAGAUACACUAAAAACGCUCUUAUUUAAUCAAGGCCCAUAUACUCUGCACUGUAUAGAACAAACACCCAAAAACAAACCUAGAAAGAAAAUCCUACUUGAGAUGAAGAGUUUAAUGUGCUAUCUUAUGGUGUCUAUGAGAGAACUGUAUAAAAUAUUUGUUUUAUUGGUCUAUGUAAGUUUAUUAUUUUUACUGUAUUAUGAAGUAGAAAGACUUUUUAGGUGUGAACAUAGCAGAGGUGAUAUUUCAGCAAACUGACAAACCCUAUGACCUUAAGCUGGGGGACUGCUUUAUUUUACCCAGUCAGAGACAUCGAGCGUGUGGAUAUUUUACUAAUGCAAAAGCCAGACUCCUUAUUUUUAUUUUAUUCCCUUCUUUCAUUCUGUUUCAAAUUCAUUUAUUGGCUGAUUUUUCUUUAUCUCUCUCUUUACUUUUCUAUUCAUGUUUCACAUUUUUUCUUAAGGUCUUAGUGAGGCAGACCACAUUACAAACACACUAACCUGCAAUACAUAGAUUCAUAGGAAACAUACACAGCACAAAAUGUUUUCAGUGUCAAGUCUUUAAAAUAAGCUUUUUAUAUGAGCUGCUUUGUAUUAAUGACAGACACCAGCUACUUCUCUUUGUCUGGGACAUUAGUCCACUGCGGAUGUCUGUCCUGUGGAGCAGGCAUGACCUU